UACGGAGGGUGCGAGCGUUGUCCGGAAUCAUUGGGCGUAAAGGGCGCGUAGGUGGCCCGGUCAGUUCGUGGUGAAAGCGCGGGCUCAACCCUGCGUCGGCCAUGAAUACUGCCGCGGCUGGAGCACUGUAGAGGCAGGCGGAAUUCCGGGUGUAGCGGUGGAAUGCGUAGAGAUCCGGAAGAACACCGGUGGCGAAGGCGGCCGACUGGGCAGUUCGCUGGACACUGAGCGCGACAGCGUGGGAGCAACAGGGAUAGAUAC
rnacentral:rRNA from 1 species